rnacentral:lncRNA from 1 species
UGGAUGGUUAGGUAGGUAGGUGAAUGAGCAGGUGGCUAGGUGGAUGGGCAGGUAGGUAGGUGGCUGAGCAGGUGGCUAGGUGGAUGGUUAGGUGGAUGGGUAGGUAGGUAGGUGAAUGAGCAGGUGGCUAGGUGGAUGGGCAGGUAGGUAGGUGGAUGGGUAGGUAGGUAGGUGAAUGAGCAGGUGGCUAGGUGGAUGGGCAGGUAGGUAGGUGGAUGAGCAGGUGGCUAGGUGGAUGGUUAGGUGGAUGGGUAGGUAGGUAGGUGAAUGAGCAGGUGGCUAGGUGGAUGGGUUGGUGGAUGGAUGGAUGGGUAGGUGGUUGGGUAGAUUGGUGAAUGGGUGGAUAGGUAGGUAGAUG